CACGGAAUGCCAUCUUAGUGAGGAAGUCUCAUUAGUGAAGAGAAGAUUUUUGAAAGUUAGCAUGUCCUCAUAGAAGGGUGGCUUAGGGGAAAAGCAAAUCCAGCAUUCCUGAUGGUGAGAAUUAUUAAGGGACUGUAAGGCUAAAGCAGAAGCAUUUACCAUGGAUUUAAGGCCUGAGAAUUCCAGUCCUUUAGGACUGUGGGGGUUUUUAUAGUUGUCAGGCAGCUCAGAAUCUAAUGCCUCUAGGAGAUGGUAGAGGACCAAAACCAGUUUUUUGAGGAUGGCGUAAAUCUGAGACUUAAUGAAUCUGGUUAGUUUUUGAAAAGGUAAAGGUGACAAUUUAAGUAGUUAAUCUAGUAGAACAGGCAAGGUAGGAAUUAGUAAGUGCCUGCAAUUCCCUGAUAAAGGGGAGGGGUGGAAGAAUAACAGACCCAACAGUCCUUCACAAGGGAGUGGUUGGCUUGAUGAAGGGCCUGAACAGUAGGGUUAAUUAAGGAGAGAAUAAGGUCAUCGGAGGAGGGAGGUCCUGGGGGGAAAAUGGUCAGGGGUUCCUCUAGUCUGGAGAGGCGCCUAAGGCUAAAGCACAUAAAUCAACUAUCAGGGGGGAAUAGGAGGGGGUGGUUGUAAUAGUUGUGGAAACAUUGGCAGCAUCACUGGCUUGGUUGAGGAUCAUCCAGGUGUAGUUGUAGAUCUGAUAAGGGCUUCCAGCGGCAAUGGCAGUUGAAGGGGGGAAACACAAGUAGCCAAAAAGACAGCAUCUUUUAUCUAGAAUUAAGCAGAAUUAAAAGACUUCUCAGGGGCUUCCCCUGGGUGGAUUAUUUAUUUUUAAAAGGCAUUUAGGCAACCAUCUAGCAUUAUUGGCCUGAGUAUCAAAAAUCCAUGCAUGUCCUUUUCCCCAAAUGAGGACUGGAUCUGGUCUGUGCCAUUUGUAAGUUAGGGGAUUUUUCCAUAAGGCUUGAGUAUAAUUUUGAGCCAUUGAUGGAUGCCAGAGGCUAUCCUCGGCUGAUUAAGGCAUGCCCCACCACUGCCUGGCUUGUGGGCUAGCCUCAUAUCUGGCCACUGCUAUAGAAGCAUGGAGGCAGGCGUUUCAUUCCCCCAAGUCAGCGGCAUGCUGCGUCCCCAAAGGCCCAGCCAUCCCAAGCUGCUACAGGCUUGGCAGGCAGGUCCAUGCACGCUGGGCGGGACUAGGCCACAAGAGCUGUCCCGGUAGCACUGGUCUCAGGAAUUAAGCACAAAAUUGCUGGAAAGCUUUGUUAGUAUAUCCAGACCCAUUAUCUGUUUUUAUAACUUUUGUCAUUCCCAUGUAAGCAAAACAUCUUAAACAGUGACUUAUAACAUGCCUGAUGGCUUCUCCUGUUUGUGGAGUGGCACAUUUUUAAC
rnacentral:lncRNA from 1 species